UUGGAUGAAGCGCAAGAUCCAAGAAGAGGGAGAUGGGUCUGGGAGCUCCGAGCUCAGCAGGGAGGAUUCCGACGAUCGCUCCACCUCGAGAAUGGAUUCCGGCGAAGCGAUCGCGUCCGAAGAGUCUAGCGCUGUGGGAUUCGUUACUUCUCCCACAUUCUCAUCGCUUUUCUCAGUCACGCCUAGUUUCUCUUCGGGAGUUUCGGUUGCCUCGCUACAACAAGAAAAGAAAGCGUAUCGACGGCACCGGAGAAGAUUGGCGAGGAUCGUGACUGAGCAGUGGAAAUACGCUGCUCGAUCGCUUUGAAAGUGUGGAGGAUCUGGGAAGCUCGCGCUCAAUGGUAACAAAAGCACAUAGCAGAACUCUAAAACUCGGACCAAAUGAAUCACUCUAAUAAUCAGCACUGGAAAGCAGGCUAAGAAACCAAACCCUGUAGGAAUGCGUUUCUUCACUGGAGGGACGCUGCCAAAGAGAACGCAGCCAUAGCCAGGAAUGUGGAGCUGUUAUUUCCGAUAUGUCUGUCCCGAAGACAUUUUAGACCAUGGAGGAACUUCGUCAGACGCCGGAAAAGGCUUCGAGCUUGUCAGAUUUAUUUCUCUCUGUCAUGGUCAGCCAGGAAGACAAGGAACAUAAUGUUCUCAUGGCGCGAGUACGCUGAUACGCGUCUCAUGCAUCAGAAACAUAUGUGCACGGCCAUUCAUUACCAUAUGAUUUCAUCGCUGUCAAGGUGUUUCAGUGACUGGAAAAUGGCUCGUCAGGAAAAGCAAAAGAAGGAGUUCUACAAAAAAGUCGCUUAUGCUAAGUGGAACUUUAGCCGACAGAGAUUCGCCUUGCGGGCAUGGAAUUAUUUCCUGGUACUGAAGCACGAGAAGGCAUCGAUAACCGAGGCACGGCGGCUUAAAAAUUUAUCAAUGUGUUUCCAUUUUUGGUACUCGAGACGGAAAUCUCUUUCUGUCUCAGAUUCAGAAAGCGAAAGUUCCGUGGAUUCCCUGCUUGAAAAAGACACGCUUUUUCUUGUUGUGGACAGCCAUUUCAAGAGGAAAAAACAGAGGCACAUCUUAUGUGCUUGGUCGAAACUAGCAAAGUCACGUUCUUCAGCCAAGCUAACCAUCGACACGUUCUAUCGCGACAAAGUACUAUUUAAUAUCCUGCAUGAAUCCCUGCAAUGCUGGAUAAAGUAUCAUUUUUCUAUCAAGUUUCGACGAGCGCAACAAAAUAAGGCAGUGAGGUACUGGACGUUUUACAGGGUACGAAGCUGCAUGAGAUGGUGGCUGCGGUACAAAACGUCGAAAGCUUCCAAACAAAGGUGUAAAAGCUUAGCAACGAAGCACUGGGAGUCUGGCACUGCAAUGAACUCCUUGUACCGGUGGAUAGAUUAUUGUUACUGGAACAAGUCGCGCCAAGAGAAACAGGGAUUGGCUUCUAGACAGUGGAGGGGCUUUAGAUUGAAAGGGAUAUUUCACAGGUGGAUGGAAUUCAGCUCGGCUUCAAAGAGAAAGAGAGAUAUGAUAGACAAAGCAAGAGAUGGACGGGUUGAACUGGUUAUUAGGAAGGGAUUUUCUGCUUGGAUAAGUUUUUUCCGAGGACGCAAAAGGAGAAAGAUGGCAAUGGAACAACAAUGUGAGGAGCUCAUGGAGUUACUGGAUUCGUCGAGGCUAGCCAACACAUGGAAGCUCUGGCAACGGUUUGUACGAGAUGGUGUAACAAAGAGUCGCAAGUACGAGAAGGCCGAGAUUUUCUGUAGAGAGCACAGUGCUCGAGCUGUUCUCCGCGCGUGGCACAAUCUACAAGCGCCAUCAUCGUCCAAGCAUGAAGCCGGAGUUUUCUACACCAAACUUCUCCAAAGACUUGCAUUCCUGGGAUGGUUUCAAGUCCAAAAGUCGAAGAGUUCAGUCAGGUACGUCAGAUACGCUUUGAUUUGCAGUACGCUUCAUCGUCCUUUUUGCAGGAAGUCCCAAAGCCUGAGUCCACAGCAGCAGCAAGACCACGCAGUGAAAGUGCCGGACUUACCUGGAUCUAGAGAGACCACUGGAACGGAGCUGCUAGAACAGUUUGAAAACGAUUCCAAAGGCAUGAAGAAUGGACGCUUGCGUCCACCUCCUCGAAGGCCUGCCUUGCCACUCACCGACGUAAGACACUCCUUACUCUCACAGUCUCCAGCUUUCGAUUCUUCCAGCUUGUCCGCACAAUCUGGGACCCGGGACUACUUGCCUUCUUUCUCACUCCCAACCAGACCGGACGAUAGCGAUCCAUACCUCUUGCUCCAAAAGCGACUCAACAAGGACUCCAAGGAACUUCUCACCAGGACAGCGACGGCAACAGCACCUUCUCUGGAGUUUCUGGCGUGCCUUGACUCCUCCGAGACCGAGUUCUCACACGUUAUCGCGGACGAAGUUGCGUGGAUGGACCAUCUUCUCGCCGGCUUCGAAGACUUGAGAGCCGAGCUGGUUGAAAAGAGAGCGGAGCUUGCGCUGGUGCUGGAAAGGAACGGGUCAGGAUCCAGGGACAAGGCACAGCUUUUGACGCAGAAAAUCUCAAUGCUCCAACAGCGCCGGGCUAUACUUUUGCCAACAAUCCAGGCAGUGGCAUCUGUGGUGCCGGGCCUUCGUCUGCGAGCUCGCAAAGUCACGUCCUCUUCCAUGGAGAGCUCCAGCAACUUCCGAAAGUGAGGAGGAAGAAGACGAUCGAGGGGAGGAAGAAAUGAAGAUUGAGAAGAUCGAGAUGAAGAGGAAAACGAUGAAUGAAUCUACACUUUAAUCGGUUACUCCAUUUCAUUCGAUUCGGGAUCCAGGGACAAAAGAGAAAUCUCUCUUUUACCCAUCUCUCGAAAGCAAAAGCAGUCGAUCUGAUUUUUUCUCGCCCAGCGUCGUUGGAGAGAUCGAAAGAGUCAAGAAAAAGUACGGUGCGUAUACGUAGUCCUUUUUCCUACGACGUACGCGUGUUUAAUCCUAAGUAAACGGGGGUUUAAGCAAAUCUAAGCAAGCUUCGCAUCCAACGGCUGCGAUUGGCUCCAUGUCCAGGAUCCAACGGUGGACUGCCCAUUAUUUAUAAGUAUCUUAGGGCAAAGUGGGCCAGUGCGUCUUCUCUGUCACAACAGCAAGGUAGCAGCACAGCUUUUUCUUUGCCCUCUUCGCUUGUCCGAUCCGAUCUCUCGAUCGCCAUUUCUCUCAAUCCGGGGAAAAGAAUUCCCAGCU